CGGAGCAGUUCCGCAGCGUAGCCGUUCCGCAGCCAUUCCGCAACCAGUGAAAAUUAGGAGUCGGACAGUGGAAGUGUCAGCCAGUUAUUGAGAGCACCCCUGUGGGCAACCUUCAGCUGUCUGCUGCCAUUCACUUUUGUGGAGCUUAAUUUUCAAAGAUGAAAAAGGAUGGGAGUAUGGGAGCUACACAAUGAUGGAUGUGCAGACCAACGAAAUCGCAGACAUACAGCUGGUGCAGGUAUUUGAAAUAAUUAGGACUAACGCUCACCAACGAUCACCCUCAGAUCCAAAAGUUCCGGAGAGAACGUAAAAUCACCCACUACUAUGAUGUAUGACAUGUAGCAAAAGGGUUGUCAAAGAAGCCGGAACAACUUGGCAAAGACAAGGACUGUGCUUUGGUGAAAAAGUGGCAUAGAAGCAUAGUCAACCACCUGUUCUGGUGUGCCACAAGCUCCCUCUCUGGAACAGAGAAGGUAGCGAAAUGGAAGUAUGUGUUGAACCACAUUCAAGAUGUCCACAGUCAUUCUGACCCAGCUUUCCCCAAGUGUGUACAUCAACCAAAGGCCUCAAAAGGACUGUAGCAAGUGGUUUCAACCAGGUUCGUCAGCUCUGAACAGACUUGACAAGUUCCUAACAAACAAUAGGUACCUUACUGAUGUUGAAAAGCUGUGGAGUCAUUCCACAGUGUCAUCCAGCGGUUUGCUCCCAACAUUUUUGUUUUCCCCUUCAUUGAAAUGCUAUGCAGGGAUGUACACUCCUUAUGAACUUCAUCAUACAAUAAAACAAGUCUUUAGACAGGCAAAUGUGACUGGGUGACAAAUUGUCUGCAGAAACUGGUUUUGUUCAGUGAAGGUGUGAGACAUGAGCAAUGGUCUGGAGACAUCAGGCCUAAUUGCCGGCCAUCA